UCUUUAGACCUGUGCAAUGGUGCUUUGAGGUACUGUGUCAGGGUAGGAAUACAGCAGCACGCCUUAAUGUGCUAUGUGCCGCAGGUAUCUGGAGAGAA
rfam:Sulfurimonas sp. RIFOXYD2_FTLL_37_8 rifoxyd2_full_scaffold_582, whole genome shotgun sequence.